CGUACACUCCUGCGGGAGGCAGCAGUGGGGAAUAUUGGACAAUGGGCGCAAGCCUGAUCCAGCCAUGCCGCGUGAGUGAUGAAGGCCCUAGGGUUGUAAAGCUCUUUCACCGGUGAAGAUAAUGACGGUAACCGGAGAAGAAGCCCCGACUAACUUCGUGCCAGCAGCCGCGGUAAUACGAAGGGGGCUAGCGUUGUUCGGAUUUACUGGGCGUAAAGCGCACGUAGGCGGACUAUUAAGUCAGGGGUGAAAUCCCGGGGCUCAACCCCGGAACUGCCUUUGAUACUGGUAGUCUUGAGUUCGAGAGAGGUGAGUGGAAUUCCGAGUGUAGAGGUGAAAUUCGUAGAUAUUCGGAGGAACACCAGUGGCGAAGGCGGCUCACUGGCUCGAUACUGACGCUGAGGUGCGAAAGCGUGGGGAGCAAACAGGAUUAGAUACCCGAGUAGUCCCAUG
rnacentral:rRNA from 1 species